rnacentral:lncRNA from 1 species
AGCCAAUCGGGAUAUUGGACCUCCCGAAUGAAUUGAGCACUGACGAGUUUGUUAAUUUCUUCGCGAAUGACCUCCCGACGUUCUGGGGCAAACUGUCUUUUCCUCUGCUUUACUGGUCUGGCCCCUAGGCUAAUGUUAAGCCUAUGGACUGCAAUUUUAGGGUCUAUUCCUGACAUAUCCUCAACCUUCCAGGCAAAAACGUCAAUGUUGCGAGAUAAGCAACCAACAAGUUCUGUCUUCAGGGUGACGUCAAGAUCCCAACCAAUCGUCACCUUCUUAUCAUGCUCGAGCUCAAUUUCCAUCAAUUUUUCGACAGGAGCAAGUCUGACUUGUUGCCCGGCCUCGGGCUCCAUCCUCGAGAUUUGCAUAACGUCGUUAUUUAUUUCUCGAAUGUUGGCAACAUAGCAUUGUCUGGCAGCUGUCUGGUCUCCACGCACGAUCCCAACGCCAUUACUUGUUGAAAACUUCAUGGCUAGGUGGAAGGCAGACACAAUGGCUUUAAUCUUGUUCAGGAGUGGUCUUUCCAGAAUAGCGUUAUAGGCCAUUGAGACACGUACCACUUGAAAAGAUGUCAUCUCCGUAACCUGUUUUUGGCCAGAACCCAAAGUUAGAGGAAGCUCGACGACACCCUCUGGAGUGAUGACUCCUCCCCCAAACCCCUGGAGAGGAGUUUUAACUGCUUUGAGCUGCUGAGAUGAGAUUCCUAUUUUGGCAAAAGCUUCUUGUGAAAGUAUAUUGGCCGCACUCCCGUUGUCAACCAAGAUUCUCUUUACUUCAAAAUUGGCCACAAUCGCUGAGAUUACCAAGGCGUCAUCAUGUGGAAGUGAUACACCUUCUAAGUCCCUAAUCCCAAAAGUAAUAUCCUCCAACUUUCCAUGAGGCAUCCCAGAGGCCAAGGCAUAUUGUCGGGUAUAUUGUUUUCUUCCACUAUUGGAGUCUCCUCCCGAGGCAAUACCUCCAAUGAUGAUAUUGAUAGUUCCAGCAGUGGGUUGACCAUCCCUUUUUGCCUCAGGGGCUUUUUCCCUGUCACGAUCAUUCCUCGGGCGUUUGUCGUUACCGACAUAGGAACUCAGGAGUCCUCUUUUAAUAAGGGCUUCAAUCUCCCGUUGUAGGGCCUUACAGUUCUUCGUGGUAUGCCCAUGAUCCCGAUGGAACUCACAGUACUUGUUCAUGUCCCUGGACUCUGGUGUUGACCUCAUUUUGACAGGCCAUUUCAGUUCCUUCAUAUCCUUGAUCUCCAUCAAUAUAUUGGUCUUUGACGUAUUUAAACGCGUGAAUGACGUCGGGGGAACCUCCUGUCUCUGUUUUUUCCGAUGUUCUUCUUCACGAAGGUUCGGGUCGUGCUGUCUUUUAUGCUCGACCCUAUCAUGGGAUGAUCCAACCUUUCUCGGGUCCAGUGUUUCCUCCAUAUUUAUGUACUUCUCGGCUCGGGUAAGAAGCUCGAUCACUGUCUUUGGCAGAGUUUUGGAUAAAGACAUCUUGAAAGCCUCACACUUUAUGGCAUAUGUGAGGGCAGAAACUGCUGCAGUUAUGUGUAGGUCGGGAAUCUGAAGUCUUUCCUUGUUGAACCUGGUCAUGAAGUCACGCAGGGUCUCAUUUUGCCCUUGUCUAAGUUGCAUGAGGGAAGCCGCUGUCUUCCUGAUGCGUUUACUGCUUACGAAGAAAGCAGAGAACUUGUCCGCCAAAUCCGAGAAUGAGGCUAUGGAGUUGGGCUCUAAGGUUGAGAACCAAUCCCUAGCAGCAUUCGUCAAAGUUUGUGGGAAGGCCUUGCACAUCACCUGAUCUUGUGCGACCUGUAGAUUCAUGACGUCCGUGUAUACGUUAAGAUGAUUGAUUGGAUCGGUGGUCUCAUCAUAUUCUUUGAUCCUAGGAUACUUAAAUCUGUCUGGCAAGGGGAAUGUUAAUAUCUCGGGAGUAAAGGGAGUGUUGGGACUGAAUCUUGUCGUCCCUUUGUUGCCCUGAAGUAGGCCUGCCGUAAUUCUUUCUUGAAUAAUCCUAGCGAGUUCCCCGGACUCCAUGGUUACUGAUCUCGAGGCCGAGGUCACAUGUGGUAUACCCGAGGCCCUUGCUCCGCCAUUGUCAAGGACAUGUCUUUGAGCUCGAGCUCGAGCAUCAGCCAUAAAACCCCCUUGGGGUGCUGGUGUGGGUGACGGAUGCAAAUUUCUUUGACUUAGCAGCUGAGUUAGUGCGGCGACCUGUUGUCUGAGCUCUUCAAAAGCUCCAGCAGUGACGUCUGCCGGCUGGGGCUCUGGCACUUCUGAUGAUUCCUCUUGAGGAAUAGGGAUAUCCUCAGGAGGGGGUUGGUUUGGAGCGGAUGGGCUUGCUGGUGGAAGACCUGAACGUGUGUUUACCAUGGCUUUUGGUAGCGUUUCCCACAGACGGCGCCAAUGAUGCUACCAAAAAUCGUACCUGUAGAUUUCCCGAGCUUGAUGACUGAUGAGGAGCACGAACGUGAUCUUCCGGUACCUGAAACAAAGGCAACGAGGUGUGUUCUCGUCGCCCCUCCGAUGCUUAAGUCAGAAAGGGAAUUUUGUGCGUGAGGUUAUGUGCUGGAGAACAAUGAAAAAACGUAUCUGAAUAAUGGCUCAAGGUUCUGUAUUUAUAGUAGUAAGUGACAUUCUCCUAGUGAGACUCAACUAGCUGGAUGUCCUCAUCUGUUGGAGUCCUGAAUAGUUAAGGAGUUUGUUGAAUUCCAUAAUUAUAUGUGGGAUAGAAUCCUUGCGGGAGUUAAGAGUCCUAAUUGCGUAGGAAUUUUAAAGGGUCAACCAUCGUCGGUUGUGAGGGGAGCAUAUGCCCGAGGACUGUGAUGCUCGAGGACAAAAUAUUUGCAAUAUGCGAAGCAGCCAGGCGGAUGUGGUCGGGCUUAGUGUCUCGAGGAUGCAUAUGCUCGAGGACACCGUAGAUGGAUUUACAACUUUACCAAAAAUAGUCGUUGGGAUAAUGUGUUGAUCGGGGAUAUUGGAAAAUGUCACCAUCACUAGCCAUUCUCAAUCAUAACUAUUAGCAACAGAAAUCGCCAGUACAAUCCAUAAUGAACUAAGUCUACGAUGUUCAAACAUUGAUUUGGAGACACAAAUAUUUAGUUAGGCCUCGUGUGUAUCAGACACAUUAGCUAACCUCACUCAGCUGACCGAGGACAAUGGUUUACACACACCAAACCUUGUCAACAAAAAGGGGGACAAAAGAGAAGUUAAAUCGUACACUGCAAAGCAACAAGCCGCACUCUCUACCCAAACCAUCCAGUAGGCAAAUAUCGUCCUAGACAUUGCCACCUUGGGCGCCAGUAUGAGGUUCAUGCUUCCCUUCCCAAAAGGAUGCCAAACCUUCUUAGGGAACAUUUACUAUCCUAAGUAUACUAAUAUACACAUGAUUAACCCAUCGACCAAUUCGAACCUGUAACAAGACCUGGCUGGUGUUGUCUUGGUGCGCCCAAUCUCACCAAUAAUUAGUAAAAGCCUAUACAUAGUUCAAGGGUACAACUUUUCCAUCAUUAUCAAAUUAAGGCGGUCCCCUACAAAAUCAACUGCCAUAAAUAAAAUGCACCAGUUGAACAAAAACUCAGUUAAAAUUACUUCAUAUUUUCUCCUUAGCAUCUGAGUCCCUUAUUCGGCAACUGAUGGAGUAGGCUAACCUAGUUCCUAUUUUGCAGGAUUCAACUUCAACAUUUAACAAUCAAAUAUAAAUCAAUCAUUGGACCCAUAUAAUUUAAAAAGCAUAUCCAUAAUAAUGACAGCAACAAUGAGACUUAAUUCAUCUACACUCUUUCUUUCUAGCUAUCUCAUAUAGUACUCAAUUCAAAAUUAUUCAUAAUCACCAACGACAGCUUUAGAACUUAAAGAAUACGCAAAGUAGGAUUCAAUCACAUAAAGCCCAUUUGACUGUGAUUUGAAUCACAUCAAUAUUUUUAUAUUCAGUCAUAAAGAAAGAGUGAGUAGAAUAGGACCUGGGGAUUCCAUGGGACAGGUCGAGCUGGGCGUCAUUAGGUCCAAACUCUUCGCCAUCGUUCGACGCCUCAAUCACUUGUCCGAACUCUUUAAAGGUCUCGGGAGUUGCUUCAAUGGGCUUCAGCUUUAUUACAGCCGUAAAUUGCUCGUCCGAAGCGGCAGACAUUUGAUAGUUGGACGAACGGUGAAGCUACGCUGGAGAGUGUGAGAAUAAAGAUGGGAAUUAUCGUAUGGUUUCCGUCUUGGAUUUUGAACGUGGUUUGGGUUGAGGUUUCGCUUACGUAGGCAGUUGGUGGAUUUCAAGGCGUCCACGUGGCUGCACGGAGACUAGAGAAUAUAGCCUUGUUUUAG